UGUUUUUCAGUUGGUACGUUUUAACAAUGUGUACCAGAUUAUAAUACACAAAAAUACCCUCAUUUAUCAUGGAUUCUAAGUUUUAAGGUCAAGGAUAUUUAAAUAAUUUUCAUUCUCAAAACUAAAAAAAAAAAAAAAGAAACUCCCAAACCAUUACUCACCUCCCUCAUUCCUCUCAACCCUUUCUCUUUCAUCUCUCACUCCAACAUUUUUCCUGUCAUCCCUAUUGUUGCCCUAAUUAAA
rnacentral:lncRNA from 1 species